CAUCCCAUGAUGAGGACAGGUGGCCACAUACUCCUGCAGUCGUCCAUCCCAGGUGUUGGCAGCAGCACGGUUGCCAUAGAACCACUACUUCGCUCUCCCGAGAAG
rnacentral:snoRNA from 1 species